CCAAACUUGGUCAUUUAGAGGAAGUAAAAGUCGUAACAAGGUCUCCGUUGGUGAACCAGCGGAGGGAUCAUUAUCGAGUUUUCCAACUCCAAACCUUUGUGAACAUACCAUUGUUGCUUCGGCGGGAUCGUCCCCGGGAACCGCUGUGCACGGCGUGACCCGGGUGCCCCCGCCGAGGGACCCAAACUCUUGUUUUUCCAGUAGGAUCUUCUGAGUAUCUUGAUAAAUAAAUCAAAACUUUCAGCAACGGAUCUCUUGGUUCUGGCAUCGAUGAAGAACGCAGC
rnacentral:misc_RNA from 1 species